CCUACGGGUGGCAGCAGUAGGGAAUAUUGCUCAAUGGGGGAAACCCUGAAGCAGCAACGCCGCGUGGAGGAUGACGGUUUUAGGAUUGUAAACUCCUUUUGUUAGAGAAGAUUAUGACGGUAUCUAACGAAUAAGCACCGGCUAACUCCGUGCCAGCAGCCGCGGUAAUACGGAGGGCGCAAGCGAUACUCGGAAUCACUGGGCGUAAAGGGUGCGUAGGUGGGGUAAUAAGGUAGGUGUGAAAUCCUGUAGCUUAACUACAGAACUGCAGUUGAAACUGUUACUCUGGAGUGUGCGAGAGGUAGGUGGAAUGCUUGGUGUAGGGGUAAAAUGCGUAGAGAUCAAGAAGAAUACUGAUUGCGAAGGCAGCCUGCUGGAGCCUUACUGACGCUGAUGCACGAAAGCGUGGGGAGCGAACAGGAUUAGAUACCCGUGUAGUC
rnacentral:rRNA from 1 species